GUUUGAUCCUGGCUCAGGAUGAACGCUAGCGGCAGGCCUAAUACAUGCAAGUCGAACGGUAACAUAGUCUUCGGACUGAUGACGAGUGGCGCACGGGUGCGUAACGCGUAUGCAACCUACCCUUAACUGGAGGAUAGCCCGAAGAAAUUCGGAUUAAUACUCCAUAGUAUCACCAGAUGGCAUCUGAAGGUGAUUAAAGAUUUAUUGGUUAAGGAUGGGCAUGCGUGACAUUAGCUAGUUGGUAAGGUAACGGCUUACCAAGGCAACGAUGUCUAGGGGUUCUGAGAGGAUGAUCCCCCACACUGGUACUGAGAUACGGACCAGACUCCUACGGGAGGCAGCAGUAGGGAAUAUUGGUCAAUGGGCGAGAGCCUGAACCAGCCAUGCCGCGUGUAGGAAGACGGCCUUCUGGGUUGUAAACUACUUUUAUACAGGAACAAAUAGUCCAUGCGUGGAAAGUUGAGUGUACUGUACGAAUAAGCACCGGCUAACUCCGUGCCAGCAGCCGCGGUAAUAAGGGCGAAUU
rnacentral:rRNA from 1 species